AAUCUAUGAUUCCCAUGGCUAAUAAAGUUGAUAAUCAUCUUUAAGGAAAGUGUUGUCACUGCUCAGCCAUAUACUUUCCGACGCCAAAUUUCCUUGUAAGACUUCAACAAUCUGCAUCCAAUAUUAAUACUUAAAUGCAUAAGUAUUAAUUAAUUAAUAAUAAUUAACUUAUAAAUAAAUUUUUUUACUUCAUGAAUAUGCUUAAACAUAC
rnacentral:misc_RNA from 1 species